CCUGCUGCCUUCCGUAGGAGUUUGGUCCGUGUCUCAGUACCAAUGUGGGGGGUUGACCUCUCAGUCCCCCUAUGUAUCGUCGCCUUGGUGAGCCGUUACCUCACCAACUAGCUAAUACAACGCAUGUCCAUCUCUGACCACCUGAGUUUUCAACCACCGAAGAUGCCUCCGGUGAUGUUAUGGGGUAUUAGUACCAAUUUCUCGAUGUUAUCCCCCUGUCAAAGGUAGGUUACAUACGCGUUACGCACCCGUCCGCCGGUCGCCGG
rnacentral:rRNA from 1 species